rnacentral:tRNA from 1 species
ACUUGAAUAUCUUAUUUAGAGUACGACACUGAAGAUGUCGUUGAGGUUUAUUUUAUACCUUCAGGUA